GUGUAAGAGCUAAAACCUGGCAACAGCUUUUGCAGACCCUGCUGUUGCCAGGAUGGACUGGGUGGCUGUACCCAGCCUGCCUAAGCACACCUGUGCCCUGAGUGAGGUGUUGGAUGGGUUGGAGGGGUGUUGCUCAUAUGCAGGAGCUGAGGAAGAAGCAGAAAGGUGGGGUGCAACAAGCGGCAGCGAUGAUGACAUGAGGCAAGAAGCAAUGUCCAGCAGAUAUACUGUGCAUCCUUCAUGGUCUGCUCAGGACAGCUUCCUCAGACAAGUGACACCAGUGCUACUUCCAGUUCUAUCCCUGUUUUCAUGCCUUUGUCCCAGCCUUAUGAAACUCCAGGCUGAUGUGCAGAAGGGCAGGAAAAAAUUGCCUUCCAGAUGA
rnacentral:lncRNA from 1 species